GCAGGGGGCGAGCGUNGUCCGGAAUCACUGGGCGUAAAGGGAGCGUAGGCGGUCGAUUAAGNUAGAUGUGAAACCCCCGGGCUUAACUNGGGGACUGCAUCUAAUACUGGUUGACUUGAGUACAGGAGAGGGAAGCGGAAUUCCUAGUGUAGCGGUGAAAUGCGUAGAUAUUAGGAGGAACACCAGUGGCGAAGGCGGCUCUCUGGACUGUAACUGACACUGAGGCACGAAAGCGUGGGGAGCAAACAGGAUUAGAUACCCUGGUAGUCCACGCCGUAAACGAUGAGUACUAGCUGUCGGAGGUUACCCCCUUCGGUGGCGCAGCUAACGCAUUAAGUACUCCGCCUGGGAAGU
rnacentral:rRNA from 1 species